rnacentral:rRNA from 2 species
CUAAAAUUAAUAAUAAAAAAUUUAUCAAUUUGUUUUGUAUCUUAGUUUAUUGAGGAUAAGCUCAAUAAAAAUAAUAAAAUAGUAUAGACCUCGUUUAAUUAGCCACAUGGGCUUGAAAUUAGCCAUUGUGUUAAAGUUUGUUACAAAAUAGUCUUUAUAUGCAGAAAGAUUAAUAUACUUUUUUUACAGGGGUAACAUGAAAAACCAUAAUAUCUUGAUUCACUUAUGCUAGGAUGAGUAUUGAUGUAUAAGAUGUAUAAACAAAAAUAGAAAGAUAUAUAAAAUAACUUUACUUAAAAUAAAAUAAGGAUAAGGAAUUCAGCAAACGCUUAGCUCCGCCUGUUUAUCAAAAACAUGGCUCUUUGUUAAUCAAAUAUAAAGAGUCAGACCUGCCCAGUGAAGUUUUAACGGCCGCGGUACUCUGACCGUGCAAAGGUAGCAUAAUCAUUUGCCUUAUAAUUGAAGGCUUGUAUGAAUGGUUUGACGGGAGCAUUACUGUCUUUUUCUUACUCUAUAGAACUUGACCUUUGGGUGAAGAGGCCCAGAUACAGUUGAAAGACAAAAAGACCCUGUCGAGCUUAAAAAGGAAUCAGAAUAAUUUUAUUAUUCAAGAUUAAUUACUGACUAAUUUUUUUGGUUGGGGCGACCAAGGAACAAAAAAGCUUCCUCUAUUUUCUUAGCUAAUAAGCAUGGAUCCAGAAAAAGCUGAUUAAAAGAAAUAGUUACCGCAGGGAUAACAGCAUAAUCUCUCUUGAGAGACCUAAUCGAAAGAGGGGGUUGUGACCUCGAUGUUGGACUAGAAUAUCCUAAAGAUGCAGAAGUCU